rnacentral:rRNA from 1 species
UACGGAGGAUGCAAGCGUUAUCCGGAAUUAUUGGGCGUAAAGCGUCCGUAGGUGGUUGAGUAAGUCUGCUGUUAAAGCGUGGAGCUUAACUCCAUAUCGGCAGUGGAAACUACUUAACUUGAGUGCGGUAGGGGUCAGGUGAAUUCCCAGUGUAGCGGUGAAAUGCGUAGAUAUUGGGAAGAACACAGGUGGAGAAAGCGCCUGACUGGGCCUGCACUGACACUGAGGGACGAAAGCUAGGGGAGCGAAAGGG